UUUUCAGAUGGCUUUUAAUUUGAAACAACGGAUACAGGAAGUGUGAAGAGGAAGAGAGAAAAAGGAAUACAGAGAGAGGAGAUAUUAGAAAGGUAGAUUAAACUAAGUAACUAUAAGUUAGUUCUAAAUUUUACAGUUAAAAAGAACAUUCACUAUGUAGUGUAAAGCUGUUAGCACAGUAUUUGGGUAAACAAAGAAAUGCUAAUUCACCUCAGCGAAUAUUUCUAUACUUGCCCAGCCAGUUAACAGUGGCUCCAGACAUUGUUUUGGCCUAGCAGAUGAAGCCGGGUGUGGAGUAACUGGAUGCAGAAGAUUUUUUCAUAAUGCCUGACAGGAGUCAUCAUCCUCUGGCUCCAGACUGCCAAAGCCCCAUUUAUCAGACAGUGUAAUACUCAGAGGUGUCUGCUGUCUCUUGGUAGAGGAGUAAACUGGCAACCUGACAUAAGUAGGAAACAGCGCACGCUCUUGGAUUGUUGCUUAUUUUCCAGGUUCAGCCCCCUAUGAGUGUGCAGGAUCUACAGGCCCAGCUGCAACCAUCCGUGGGUAA
rnacentral:lncRNA from 1 species